UACGUAGGUGGCAAGCGUUGUCCGGAUUUACUGGGCGUAAAGAGCGCGCAGGCGGUCGUUCAAGUCGCGUGUGAAAGCCCCCGGCUCAACUGGGGAGGGUCACGCGAUACUGAUCGACUCGAAGGCAGGAGAGGGUAGUGGAAUUCCCGGUGUAGUGGUGAAAUGCGUAGAUAUCGGGAGGAACACCAGUGGCGAAGGCGACUACCUGGCCCAUUCUGACGCUGAGGCGCGAAAGCUAGGGGAGCGAACGGG
rnacentral:rRNA from 1 species